rnacentral:rRNA from 1 species
AAUAAACGCUGGCGGCGUGCCUAACACAUGCAAGUCGAGCGAGAAAGCUCCUUCGGGAGUUAGUAAAGCGGCGAACGGGUGAGCAACACGUGAGAAUCUACCCUUUAGUGAAGAAUACCCUCGAGAAAUCGAGGCUAAUACUGCAUACGUCCCUUCGGGGAGAAAGAUGGCCUCUUUGCUAUCGCUAAAGGAUGAGCUUGCGUACUAUUAGCUAGUUGGCGGGGUAAAGGCCCACCAAGGCAAUGAUGGUUAACCGGCCUGAGAGGGUGUACGGUCACACUGGAACUUAGACACGGUCCAGACUCCUACGGGAGGCAGCAGUGAGGAAUCUUGCGCAAUGGGCGAAAGCCUGACGCAGCGACGCCGCGUGGAGGAUGACGGUUUUCGGAUUGUAAACUCCUGUUAAGCGGGAAGAAAGCCUUGUUUCUAAUACAAGCAAGGUAUGACGGUACCGCUAGAGAAGCACCGGCUAACUUCGUGCCAGCAGCCGCGGUAAUGUGCGCG